rnacentral:rRNA from 1 species
CCUACGGGAGGCAGCAGUGGGGAAUAUUGGACAAUGGGGGCAACCCUGACCCAGCCAUGCCGCGUGUGUGAAGAAGGCCCUCGGGUUGUAAAGCACUUUCAGUGAGGAAGAACGCCUGGUGGUUAAUACCCAUCAGGAAAGACAUCACUCACAGAAGAAGCACCGGCUAACUCCGUGCCAGCAGCCGCGGUAAUACGGAGGGUGCGAGCGUUAAUCGGAAUUACUGGGCGUAAAGCGCGCGUAGGUGGCUUGAUAAGCCGGUUGUGAAAGCCCCGGGCUCAACCUGGGAACGGCAUCCGGAACUGUCAAGCUAGAGUGCAGGAGAGGAAGGUAGAAUUCCCGGUGUAGCGGUGAAAUGCGUAGAGAUCGGGAGGAAUACCAGUGGCGAAGGCGGCCUUCUGGACUGACACUGACACUGAGGUGCGAAAGCGUGGGUAGCAAACAGGAUUAGAUACCCUGGUAGUC